UACGUAGGGUGCGAGCGUUGUCCGGAAUUAUUGGGCGUAAAGAGCUCGUAGGCGGUGUGUCGCGUCGGCCGUGAAAACCUGCAGCUUAACUGUGGGCUUGCGGUCGAUACGGGCAUCACUGGAGUUCGGCAGGGGAGACUGGGAUUCCUGGUGUAGCGGUGGAAUGCGCAGAUAUCAGGAGGAACACCGGUGGCGAAGGCGGGUCUCUGGGCAGUAACUGACGCUGAGGAGCGAAAGCGUGGGGAGCGAACAGG
rnacentral:rRNA from 1 species